rnacentral:rRNA from 1 species
AUACGGAGGGUGCAAGCGUUACUCGGAAUCACUGGGCGUAAAGCGCGCGCAGGCGGUCUUUUAAGUUGGAUGUGAAAGCCUACAGCUCAACUGUAGAACUGCAUCCAAAACUAUUAGACUAGAGUCUGGGAGGGGAAGAUGGAAUUAGUUGUGUAGGGGUAAAAUCCGUAGAGAUAACUAGGAAUACCAAAAGCGAAGGCGAUCUUCUGGAACAGUACUGACGCUGAGGCGUGAAAGCGUGGGGAGCAAACAGGAUUAGAAACCCCGGUAGUCC